CCCUUUUUCCUCCAAGCCGCCGCUGCCAGCAUCUCUUCUUCUUCCUCUUUUCUUCUUCCUCCCGAAGCCAGCUUCCCUGGCUCGAUCUCCCCGCUGCCUCCUCCCAUGGCCGGUCGCCCUUGCUCCCCGCGCCUCUCCGCCUCGCCGCGCGCCCUCCUCUCCCCGCACCCUCUCUCUCCCGGCUGCUGCUCGUGCUGCGAGCCCCACACGCGCCACCACCUGCCGCUCGCCCGAGCUCCCGCUUCCCGUCGCCCGCUGCCGUUGCCUCCAAUGGCGCCUCCCCUUCCACCGAGCGCCGCCUGCCUUGCUCCCUGCUCCGCCUCCACGCUCGCCGCCCGUCCAGCCGUCUUGCCCGCGCCUCUCCACCCCGCCGGCGACCACCUGCCCGCGCGCGCCAUGCCGCCUCUCCCCGUCAUCCGCAACCACCUCGCCGGCCGCUCCGCCUCCCUCUUCCGAGCGCCUCCAUCUCCCCUGCGCUGCCCUCGCCUGCUGCUCGCCGUCGGGUGCCACCAACCGCAGGCCCGAAGCAGCUCCUUCCUCCUUGGCCCAUCUUCUCCAGCCCGCAGGCCCAAGACAAGCAGGCCCGUGCCCUCUUUCCCUUGUUGUUUUUCUUUCUUUUUCCUGAAAUUGCUGCCUGACGUUUGGGCCCUGCUGAUCAUCGCCUCCGUUUCCUUGCUGUGUGCUGCUGUUCGCUUGUCAUCGCUCCGUGUCGAGUCGUCUCGCUGCUGCGUCCACGUGUUGCUGCUGCCGCACUUCGUCGAAUCGCCUAGAACCCCGGAGACGGAGCCAUGAACAACUACGACCACGACAGAUGAAUGACUACAUCGUCUACUCGACUACGACGACUACGUGUACGACUACCUCGAUAUACAUCGACUACUUCCUCUACAUCGCGACGCCGCACGUGUCCAAGUCUUCGGUUCCGACGACGACUACGCUUGUUCUUCUUCCAGUAUUCUUGCUCAAUUCCGAGCAAUUGAGUACUCCAGGCAAGCAGCCCUUCCUUGACCAUGUUGUUUAUACCCAAUGCCUCUCUCUCAUUCUUGCACUAAGUUACGUUCUCAGUCUUGUCACGAUGCCUCUAGGAUUGCAUAGCUUUUUAGCCAGCUCUACUCAAAUGUCUUUGUCUUGUUACUUGUCCUAUUACCAUGUCACAUGUCCCCCUCGACUUAGUACUUGAUCCUCAGCUCUUCCAGGGGCCACAUAGUUCGGGCGUUCCAUUGGCAUAUCGCAUGUACACUGGUGUUGUGUUGGAGACU